UACGAAGGGGGCGAGCGUUGUUCGGAAUUAUUGGGCGUAAAGGGUGCGUAGGCGGUUCCGCAAGUCCUGUGUGAAAUCUUCGGGCUCAACUCGAAGUCUGCACGGGAAACUGCGGGGCUUGAGUGUGGGAGAGGUGAGUGGAAUUCCCGGUGUAGCGGUGAAAUGCGUAGAUAUCGGAAGGAACACCAGUGGCGAAAGCGGCUUCCUGGUCCAGCACCGACGUUCAGGCACGAAAGCGUGGGGAGCAAACAGG
rnacentral:rRNA from 1 species